CAAGAAGAAUCUCAGGACAGGUAAACUGUCAGGAGGAGGGAAAUGAGGUACUCCAGUCUGCUCGAUCAAUUCUUUAUUCAGCUUUUAAAUAAAAACCCAUUCUCAUCUCAA